CGCAUAUGGGGCAUUAUGACAACGGCGAUCACGGUUCGAACGCGCCGGGCGACGUUGAGAUGGCGCGUAGCCUGCCUGCCGGUUCGCUGGCGAUGAUUGUGGGCGGUCACUCACAAGACCCGGUAUGCAUGGCGUCGGAAAAUAAAAAACAGGUGAAUUACGUACCGGGAACGCCCUGCGCGCCGGAUAAGCAAAAUGGUAUCUGGAUCGUGCAGGCGCAUGAGUGGGGUAAAUAUGUGGGCCGCGCGGAUUUCGAAUUCCGUAACGGCGAGAUGAAAAUGGUUAACUACCAGCUUAUUCCGGUAAAUCUCAAGAAAAAAGUGACCUGGGAUAACGGGAAAAGCGAGCGUGUACUUUACACGCCGGAAAUCGCCGAAAAUCCGCAAAUGCUCUCGUUAUUAACGCCGUUCCAGAAUAAAGGUAAAGCGCAACUGGAGGUGAAAAUUGGU
rnacentral:misc_RNA from 1 species